rnacentral:rRNA from 1 species
UACGUAGGGGGCAAGCGUUGUCCGGAUUUAUUGGGCGUAAAGAGCGUGUAGGCGGUCAGGUAGGUCCGUUGUGAAAACUCGAGGCUCAACCUCGAGACGCCGAUGGAAACCAUCUGACUAGAGUCCGGAAGAGGAGAGUGGAACUCCUGGUGUAGCGGUGAAAUGCGCAGAUAUCAGGAAGAACACCCGUGGCUAAGGCGGCUCUCUAGUACGGUACUGACGCUGAGACGCGAAAGCGUGGGGAGCGAACAGG